GCUGGGUGUGGUAGUGCACACCUAUAAUCCCAGCUACUGGGGAGGCUGAGGCAGGAGAAUGGCUUGAAUCCAGGAGGUGGAGAUUGCAGUGAGCCGAGAUCAUGCCACUGUACUCCACCCUGGGUGAAAGAGCAAGACUCUGUCUCAA
rnacentral:SRP_RNA from 1 species